AUACGGAGGAUGCGAGCGUUAUCCGGAUUUAUUGGGUUUAAAGGGAGCGUAGGUGGGAUAUUAAGUCAGCUGUGAAAGUUUGGGGCUCAACCUUAAAAUUGCAGUUGAUACUGGUUUCCUUGAGUACGGUACAGGUGGGCGGAAUUCGUGGUGUAGCGGUGAAAUGCAUAGAUAUCACGCAGAACUCCGAUUGCGAAGGCAGCUUACUAAGUUAUAACUGACACUGAAGCACGAAAGCGUGGGUAUCAAACAGGAUUAGAUACCCUGGUAGUCCACGCAGUAAACGAUGAUUACUAGCUGUUUGCGAUAUACAGUAAGCGGCCAAGCGAAAGCAUUAAGUAUUCCACCUGGGGAGUACGCCGGCAACGGUGAAACUCAAAUGAAUUGACGGGG
rnacentral:rRNA from 1 species